rnacentral:rRNA from 1 species
CCUACGGGCGGCUGCAGUAGGGAAUAUUGGGCAAUGGACGCAAGUCUGACCCAGCCACGCCGCGUGAAGGAUGACUGCCCUAUGGGUUGUAAACUUCUUUUGUAUGGGAAGAAACCUCCGAACGUGUUCGGAGCUGACGGUACCAUAAGAAUAAGCAUCGGCUACCUCCGUGCCAGCAGCCGCGGUAAUACGGAGGAUGCAGGCGUCGUCCGGAUUCAUUGGGUUGAAAGGGUAGAAGUAAGUCAGUGUUGAAAGCUCGCAGCUUAACUGUGAAAAUGCCAUUGAAACUGAUUGUCUUGAGUUCGAUUGAGGUAGAUGGAAUGUAUCAUGUAGCGGUGAAAUGCUUAGAUAUGAUACAGAACACCAAUUGCGAAGGCAGUCUACUAAGUCGAUACUGACGCUGAGGCACGAAAGCAUGGGGAGCAAACAGGAUUAGAUACCCUGGUAGUC